CCUACGGGAGGCAGCAGUGAGGAAUAUUGGUCAAUGGACGAGAGUCUGAACCAGCCAAGUAGCGUGAAGGAUGACUGCCCUAUGGGUGGUAAACUUCGUUUAUAAAGGAAUAAAACGAGGCACGUGUGCCUUUUUGCAUGUACUUUAUGAAUAAGGCUCGGCUAACUCCGUGCCAGCAGCCGCGGUAAUACGGAGGGUCCGAGCGUUAUCCGGAUUUAUUGGGUUUAAAGGGAGCGUAGAUGGGUUGUUCAGUCAGUUGUGAAAGUUUGCGGCUCAACCGUAACAUUGCACUUGAUACUGGUAGUCUUGAGUACAGUAGAGGUAGGCGGAAUUCGUGGUGUAGCGGUGAAAUGCUUAGAUAUCACGAAGAACCCCGAUGGCGAAGGCAGCUUACUAAACUGUGACUGACACUGAUGCUCGAAAGUGUGGGUAUCAAACAGGAUUAGAUACCCGUGUAGUC
rnacentral:rRNA from 1 species